GGAAGGAUCAUUACCACACCGAUCAACGAUCAACAUCCCUGUGAAAUUGUGAGAGUUUUUCUUUUUUAUACAACCGGUUUCUUAUUUGUCCUUUCUUUUUUGUGACUCGGGCGACGGGCUUCUGGCCUGUUAUCGAUGGAACAAGAAGAAAGCAAAGGGAAACGAUACACACAAACACCACGAAACCAAACCUUCUGAAACCAAACAAACAACUGUCCUUGAGGUCGGCGGUGGGCGGCGCGCAACCUUGCGCUCUCGCUUAUCACUAACUCCUCGAGGCGGCCAAAUGUCUUAUAAUCUGAAACAACUUUCAGCGAUGGAUAUCUUGGCUCUCGCAACGAUGAAGAACGCAGCGAAAUGCGAUACGUAAUGCGAAUUGCAGAAUUCAGUGAAUCAUCAAACCUUUGAACGCAAAUUGCGCUUCCGGGUAUCCCUGGGAGCAUGCCUGUAUGAGUGUCUGUUAACACCACUCACGUCUCUCUCUUCUCUCUCCCUCUCUCCUUCUUCGUGAAGGUGGAGCAGGAGGAGGAGGAGGAGGAUCGUGGACUUUGAGAUGUCCUAGACGCUGUCUGUGGCUGUCUAUGUCUCUUGAAAUGUGGAGUAGGAAGCUCACCCACCGUCAAGCCGUACCUAGGAAACGAAGUUGGUUUGGCUGUUUCAAAAAAGAGUUGUUUCUCUUCUCUCCAUCUCAAGCGUGGUAGUUGUGUAACUUUGUUUACGCAUCCCAAACGCUGUGAGUCUGGUGCAGUUGUGGACGACUUGCUUUUUUCAAUAAAAGUUUUUGUCACAGUUGGUGGUGUGUUCAUUCCCUACCGCAAAGAGUAAGCAGCAUAGUACUGUUGAGAGGGAGAUCACAACUCCCCCGCCAGCUGUGCUUCGCCUGCCUAACCCUCUUUCUUGGACCUCAUAUCAAGCAAGAAGACCCGCUGAAUUUAAGCAUAUAACUAAGCGGAGGAAAAGAAACUAACCAGGAUUCCCCUAGUAACGGCGAGUGAAGCGGGAAGAGCUCAACUUGAAAAUCGGUGCGGCCCUGCCGCUCUGAAUUGUAGUCUAUAGAAGCUGUUGUCAGUCACGGUCUCGGGACAAGUCUCUUGGAACAGGGCAUCAUAGAGGGUGACAAUCCCGUCUGUGCCCGGGAAUCCGUGACGUACGGCACGCUUUCAACGAGUCGAGUUGCUUGGGACUGCAGCUCAAAAUGGGUGGUAAAUUCCAUCUAAAGCUAAAUAUGGGCGAGAGACCGAUAGCGAACAAGUACCGUGAGGGAAAGAUGCAAAGAACUUUGAAAGAGAGUUAAAAAGUACUUGAAAUUGCUGAAAGGGAAGCGAAUCAAACCAGUGUUGAUGCGCGGUCAUCUUUCAGUGGGGAGUGCUCUUGGCUGCGUGUCGGUGAGGUGUCACACCCCUCCGCUGUAGUUCCUUUGGGUCCUUUCCGCUGCGUUGUGGCCGCGCGUAGCUCAGCAUCAGUUCUUGUUUCCGCGGGAUAGGGUACGUGGGGAGGUAGAGUACGGCUCCGUCGUGCUUGUUAUAGCCUGCGUAUCGUGUCGUGGAGAGGACUGAGGAAUUCAUCACAGUGUACGCCUUUUCGGCUGGGUGCGUCGCGCUCUGGUGAGGUGUUCGGAUUGGACUGCUUGCAGUGCUGUCUGUACCACUUGCCACGGUCCGGCGUUGUCCAUGUACGCUCGGGAUGCUGAGGAAAUGGUUUGAUCCGGCCCGUCUUGAAACACGGACCAAGGAGUCUAACAUUUAUGCGAGUAUUCGGGUGGCAAACCCUUGUGCGCAAUGAAAGUGAAGGUUGAUGUAGGUCAACCGAGGUAGGACGGGUGGCUUCGGCUGCCCCGCACUAUCGACCGGCCAUGAUCCUCUGGAGAAAGGUCUGAGUGUGAGCAUAUAUGUUGGGACCCGAAAGAUGGUGAACUAUGCCUGAAUAGGGUGAAGCCAGGGGAAACUCUGGUGGAGGCUCGUAGCGAUUCUGACGUGCAAAUCGAUCGUCAGAUUUGGGUAUAGGGGCGAAAGACUAAUCGAACCAUCUAGUAGCUGGUUCCCUC
rnacentral:misc_RNA from 1 species